AAGAACAUUCUGGUAUCACUCAUGUAACAGUACAGCAUCGCUUGCAGCAUGGCGUAUUGCUCAGCAAAGGCAGCCGACGACUUAGGGUCUAAACUCCAUUGAUGUGCUAUUCCCUCAGUGACUAUAGCGCUACCAACUCCGUUUGCAGUUUUAGAUCCAUCUGUAUAUACAAGUUGGUGUAGGGGAUAUUCGCUGCAUAUUUUCUCGAACUUUUGCAGGUAUCAUCCAUGGCGCAGCGUCCGACAUCCUAUUAUCCAGUAGUGUUGGAAGGGCCAUGCCAAUCUCUCCCAGAUGUUCCUGAAAUCUUAUACACGCAGGCCGGGUAAUGGUAGGUAGUGAUCUAUACGCCUGCAUGUCUGCCUGGAAAAUACUGUUGUUAGGUUUCUAGUGGUGGAAUUCCCGCCUCACAGUAUAAGCUGUUUACUGGACUGGUGGGGAAGGCUCCGAGACAGUAUCGUAUGGCGGCGUUAUGUAUGAUAUUUAAGGUUGCUAUCAGAGUUUUACGAGCCGAUGAAUAUACUACGCAGCCGUAAUCAAUUUGAGAUAAUACCAAAGCCCUGUAUAUUCUUAAUAGCCAUUUUGUUUCCGAACCCCACCUGUCUAUCUAUGUGAGGUCUCCAGGUGAGGGUACGAUCAAACGUAAGGCCUAAGAAUUUUGCGGUUUCCGUACAUCCUAUAGGUUCAUCUGACAAAAACAGUAAUGGGUCAUAGUGCGGCUUUCGUAGUCUACAGAAAUGAACGCACUGAGUUUUUUCUGUAGCGAAUGUUAAGCCAAUAUUGUUACCAUUUUUAGCUAUUUGGUUAAUCGCAGGUUGCAGGAUACGGUUUAUUUGUCCUACAGUUUUGGCAGAGUAAUAUAUGGCGAUAUCGUCAACGUAUAUACAUUUACAGAUUUCAUUAGGGAUGUUCAUGGCAAUAUCGUUAAUUGCUAUUAUAAAUAGCGUACAGCUUAGGGUAGAUCCUUGGGGAACUCCGUUUUCAAGGAUGUUUGUAUCAGAUAACUUAUCCCCAACUCUUACUCGGAAGCGCCUGUUACUGAGAAAGGACUUUAUUAAUAACGGCAAUUUACCUCUCAGAUUAAAAUGAAAAAUCUUUUCCAUUAUACCAUGUCUCCAGCACAUAUCAUAUGCUCCCUUAAUAUCAAAGAAAACAGCCACCAGGUGGUUUCUUUUACGAAAGGAUUCCUGGAUAGCGUGUUCUAAGAGGACCAAGUUGUCAGUAGUCGAUCUAUGUUUUCUGAAGCCCGCUUGGUAUGUCGCUAGGAGAUUGUGUUUUUCAAGGUGCCACUGCAGUCUGUUAUUUACCAUUCUCUCCAUUAUCUUCCCCAUACAACAUGUGAGACUAAUUGGGCGGUAGCUAGCUGGACUCAGUGGGUUUUUCCCAGGUUUUAAUACAGGUAUAACUACUGCUUCCUUCCACUCAUUUGGGUGUGAGAUUGAGUAGCAUAUCGUUUGUUAUCAAAUCAUGACCUGGAGCUGUUUUUUUUACUACUCUUUAUAGCAAAUUCUAGUUCUUCGAUGGUGAAGGGCACAUUAUAUUCAAGUUCUAGGAUUGUAUCAAAAGGAAUUUCCGUUUCUCUCUCAUUUUUAGUUGCAGCGAAAUUGGGUGGAUAAUUUGCAGACCUGCUAGUAUUUGCAAACUGCCCAGCCAACGUGUUUGCAAUUUCGGUCAGAUCUUCCGUGAUUACAUUGUGGUGGGUUUGUAUGGAAUAAAUUAUUUGACUUUUGAAUCUCCCAUUAAUUGCAUUAAUCUUUCUCCAGACAUUGUUGGUAUUAGAGCUUCCCGAAAUGGUUGUCGUAUAUUGAGCCCAGCUUUUUCGCUUGUUUUCGAGUACAAUGCGCCUACUAAUAGCUCUAGCUCUUUUAAAAGCAAUAUGGUUUUCAAUAGUUGUGUGCCUUUGAUACCUUCUGAACGCUGCCUUCUUAUUAUUGAUGGCGGCCUUAACCUCCUCAUUCCACCACGGUAGGGGUCUUUUUACCGGCUUAUUUCCAGAUUUUGGUAUGCUGAUUUCUGCGGCUCCCAAUAUGGCUUUAGUUAUUGAUUCGACACAAAUGUUAGCAGGUAUUGUAAGGCUUUGACGGAACAGUGGCCAAUUAGCAUUUGCACAGAUGUAUCUUCUAGUUACAGCCCUAUCUGUAACGGUGGUGUCCGUCUCGAUGUUUAUCGGAAAGUGGUCGCUGUUAUGUUAAGUCAUUAAUGACUUUCCAUGUGAGCCGCGGUGCUAGUAUUGGCGAGACAAAAGUUAAGUCAAGUACGUCAAACGUGUUAGACCGAGCAUUGUGGUACGUUGGGGAUCUGUUGUUGAGGAGGACAACAUUGUUCCUAGUUAGCCAAUCUUCAAUACUGCGUCCUUUAGCGUCAAUUUUUGAGGAGCCCCAUAAUGUAUUGUGACAGUUAAAAUCUCCCGCCACUAAAAAUGGUGUUGGGAGUUGCUCCACAAUGUUUUCAAGGUCUGCAAUCACCCAGUUGUCAUCUGGUAAGUAGAUGUUGCAUAUAGUCAUUUUCAUUGGUGUCCUUAUAUUAACGGCAACUGCCUGGAGAUGAGUGUUUAAUAUUAUCCGUUCAUAAUACACACCGUUUCUGACAAUGAUAGCCACACCACCUGCUGCUCUUUGCCGAUUGACAAAGUCGUUACGGAUAAUGUCGUAUCCUCGGAGAUAAUAAGACUGUUAAGUUUCAGAUGGGUUUCCUGAAUACAUAAACAUAUGGGAUUCAAUUCCUGGAGGAGCAUUUUUAAGUCUGUAUAUCGUAUCACAAGACCUCUACAGUUCCAUUGGAUAAUACAGUUUUUGGACUCGAAAGUAACGAAUAAUUAAAAAACUUAAGGACAUAUACCACAUUAAAAAUGCUAACGAACAAGUAAAUAAAAUGUUUAACAAAUAGUUGUAUAUGCGGACUAUACAGACAUGAAUAUCACAGAGUACAAAUUAUCACAGGCUAUUAAUCUGAGAAUUUCCUUCUCGUGAGGCACUAGUGCCCCUUGGUUUGCCCUUAGGCCAUCCUUUUUUCUUCUUCGGCUGUUUAGCCUCUUCUAGCGCUUUUUCAUCUACGGACGUGAUGCUGGAGUCAGUAGAUGGGUUUCGCAUCAGUAACGUCUUUCUUUUAGCGCCUCUCGAUUCGUCCUCCAUGGGCGUUUGCUCCAGAUUGGCGCUAACCCCACUAGAAGGAACGAUAAAGCUUUGUACGGGAGUCUCCACACUUUGCGGUAUAAGUUUUUUUUAUGUAGUUUAGCAUCACAGAGGUAAGCUCUUUCAUUUUCUCGUUUAUCAUUUUUUUAAUUUCAGGUAUAAACCUUGUUUGUGCCAAGGCUGGAGCUGGUGCAGUUUGCGUCAGAGCUGGAGCUUGUGCUGCAACAUUAGCAAAGCUGGUGCCUGAAACAACAGCAGUACCCACCAACCUUCUUGCUUCCAGGUCUCACAAGAUCGUGAAUUUGCAGGAUGGUUUCCGUUACAGUUUGGGCACGUAACUGGUACCUCGCAAGGAUUCCCUUCGUGUAAAGGUUUUCCGCAGAUACAUAUUUGAGGAGCUUGACAUCUUUGGACUGUAUGCCCAAAUUUUUGGCAACGGAAACAACGCAUUGGAGCUGGUAUGUAAGGUCUUACCCUUAGCCUUAGCCGCAUUUAUGGUUUUUGGAAGAUCAAUCGAAUUAAAUGUGAGGAUAUGGUUGGCGGUAUCUACCAAAUUCCCUGAAAUCUUAGUUUUAAUACGUUUAACAUCAAUCACUUUUUCCGCCUUUAGCCCUUCCAAAAUGUCUUGUUCGGUGCAGUUCAAAAAGUCUUCGCGAUAGAUGACGCCUUUUGAUACAUUCAAAGUUUCAUGUGGACUGACUUUAACAUCAAAAUUACACAAUCUUUUAGUCUGCAACAAUCGCUUAGAUUGCUUAUUUGUCGACGUUUUAAUAAAUAGCAUUCCUUUUAGUUUUUUAAUUUCAUCCACUUGUCCUAUUAAUCCAAAUACCGCCUUAGCUAUAAGAAAUGGACUUAUCUUACUAAAAUCACCAUCAUUCCUUUCUAUGAGCAGGAACCGGGGAUGAGUUUCCUCCUUUUCACUGCCCAUUCUAAUUGUACGGGAAGUCCCGUUCUCGUUGUCCAGAGUCUCGCAAUUGUCUGUGGCACCAACC